rnacentral:rRNA from 1 species
CUGCAGCUAGCUCUCUGCAACUCUCAAGCAGAGCUGUGCCCGGUCAGUACCAGAAUGGGAGACCACAUGGGAAAGCCAGGUUGCUAAGUGGU